rnacentral:rRNA from 1 species
GUGCAGUAGUCCGAAUUUUCUCAAUGGGGGCAACCCUGAAGGAGCGACGCCGCGUGGAGGAUGAAGGCUUUCGGGUUGUAAACUCCUGUCAUUUGAGAACAAGUGGCCGGACAUAACUACUUCGGCCUUGAUAGUAUCAGAAGAGGAAGGGACGGCUAACUCUGUGCCAGCAGCCGCGGUAAUACAGAGGUCUCAAGCGUUGUUCGGAUUCAUCGGGCGUAAAGGGUGCGUAGGUGGCGCCGUAAGUGGGGUGUGAAAUCCCGAGGCUUAACCUCGGGACUGCAUUCCAUACUGCGGUGCUUGAGGACUGGAGAGGAGACUGGAAUUUACGGUGUAGCAGUGAAAUGCGUAGAGAUCGUAAGGAAGACCAGUGGCGAAGGCGGGUCUCUGGACAGUUCCUGACACUGAGGCACGAAGGCCAGGGGAGCAAACGGGAUUAGAUACCCGUGUAGU